AAAUUAAGUAUUAUGUAUAUUCCAUUUACAAUGGAAAGGAUCCUAUGGAAAUUUUUA
rnacentral:tRNA from 1 species